rnacentral:rRNA from 1 species
GACGAACGCUGGCGGCGUGCCUAAUACAUGCAAGUCGAGCGAAUGGAUUAAGAGCUUGCUCUUAUGAAGUUAGCGGCGGACGGGUGAGUAACACGUGGGUAACCUGCCCAUAAGACUGGGAUAACUCCGGGAAACCGGGGCUAAUACCGGAUAACAUUUUGAACCGCAUGGUUCGAAAUUGAAAGGCGGCUUCGGCUGUCACUUAUGGAUGGACCCGCGUCGCAUUAGCUAGUUGGUGAGGGAACGGCUCACCAAGGCAACGAUGCGUAGCCGACCUGAGAGGGUGAUCGGCCACACUGGGACUGAGACACGGCCCAGCAUCCUACGGGAGGCAGCAGUAGGGAAUCUUCCGCAAUGGACGAAAGUCUGACGGAGCAACGCCGCGUGAGGGAUGAAGGCUUUCGUGUCGUAAAACUCUGUUGUUAGGGAAGAACAAGUGCUAGUUGAAUAAGCUGACACCUUGACGGUACCUAACCAGAAAGCCACGGCUAACUACGUGCCAGCCGCCGCCGUAA